AAAAAAAUUUAACGCAGUCAGCAGGAUUCGAACCUACGCGGGCAGAGCCCAAUUGAUUUCUAGUCAAUCUCCUUAACCACUCGGACAUGACUGCACGACG
ensembl:ncRNA F42A10.12 ncRNA